CACGGAGCCAGCCGAUCCUUAUUCAUGUGCUACCGUCAUAUUCGUCACAUAUAAAAGCAGUUUACAACCCGAAGGCAUUCACCCUGCACGCGGCGUUGCUCCAUCAGACUUUCGUCCAUUGUGGAAGAUUCCCCA
rnacentral:rRNA from 1 species